rnacentral:rRNA from 1 species
UACGAAGGGGGCUAGCGUUGCUCGGAAUCACUGGGCGUAAAGGGUGCGUAGGCGGGUCUUUUAAGUCAGGGGUGAAAUCCUGGAGCUCAACUCCAGAACUGCCUUUGAUACUGAAGAUCUUGAGUUCGGGAGAGGUGAGUGGAACUGCGAGUGUAGAGGUGAAAUUCGUAGAUAUUCGCAAGAACACCAGUGGCGAAGGCGGCUCACUGGCCCGAUACUGACGCUGAGGCGAGAACGGAG